AUUGAACGCUGGCGGCAGGCCUAACACAUGCAAGUCGAGCGGACGAAGGGAGCUUGCUCCUGGAUUCAGCGGCGGACGGGUGAGUAAUGCCUAGGAAUCUGCCUGGUAGUGGGGGAUAACGUCCGGAAACGGGCGCUAAUACCGCAUACGUCCUGAGGGAGAAAGUGGGGGAUCUUCGGACCUCACGCUACCAGAUGAGCCUAGGUCGGAUUAGCUAGUUGGUGGGGUAAAGGCCUACCAAGGCGACGAUCCGUAACUGGUCUGAGAGGAUGAUCAGUCACACUGGAACUGAGACACGGUCCAGACUCCUACGGGAGGCAGCAGUGGGGAAUAUUGGACAAUGGGCGAAAGCCUGAUCCAGCCAUGCCGCGUGUGUGAAGAAGGUCUUCGGAUUGUAAAGCACUUUAAGUUGGGAGGAAGGGCAGUAAGUUAAUACCUUGCUGUUUUGACGUUACCAACAGAAUAAGCACCGGCUAACUUCGUG
rnacentral:rRNA from 1 species